CCUACGGGAGGCAGCAGUGGGAAUCUUGCACAAUGGACGAAAGYCUGAUGCAGCAUGCCGCGUGAGUGAAGAAGGCCUUCGGGUUGUAAACCUCUUUCGACAGGGAAAAAGGGUAGUCUUGCGAACAGUUAGAUUACUGGAUGGUACCUGUAUAAGGAGCACCGGCUAACUUCGUGCCAGCAGCCGCGGUAAUACGAAGGGUGCAAGCGUUGUUCGGAAUAACUGGGCGUAAAGAGCGCGUAGGCGGGUAUGUAAGUUAUCUGUGAAAGCCCCGGGCUUAACCUGGGAAUUGCAGGUAAAACUGCAUAUCUUGAAUACUGCAGGGGAUGGUGGAAUUGCUGGUGGAGAAGUGAAAUUUAUAGAGAUCAGCAGGAACACCUGAGGCGAAGGCGGCCAUCUGGGCAUGUAUUGACGCUGUGGCGCGAAAGCGUGGGUAGCAAACAGGAUUAGAUACCCUGGUAGUCCACGCCGUAAACGAUGGAUACUAGGUGUUCGGAGUAUAACCCUCUGAGUACCGAAGUUCACGCAUAAGUAUCCCGCGCUGGGGAGACCGGUCGCAAGGCUAAAACUCAAAGGAAUUGACGG
rnacentral:rRNA from 1 species